rnacentral:rRNA from 1 species
UGGGGAAUAUUGGACAAUGGGCGCAAGCCUGAUCCAGCUAUGCCGCGUGAGUGAUGAAGGCCUUCGGGUUGUAAAGCUCUUUUAGGUGGGAAGAUAAUGACGGUACCACCAGAAAAAGCCCCGGCUAACUUCGUGCCAGCAGCCGCGGUAAUACGAAGGGGGCAAGCGUUGCUCGGAUUUAUUGGGCGUAAAGGGUGUGUAGGUGGCUUGAUAAGUUAGAUGUGAAAGCCCGAGGCUUAACCUCGGAACUGCAUUUAAAACUGUCAAGCUUGAAGAUCACAGAGGUAAGCAGAAUUUCCAGUGUAGAGGUGAAAUUCGUAGAUAUUGGAAAGAAUACCAACGGCGUAGGCAGCUUACUGGGUGACUCUUGACACUGAGGCACGAAAGCGUGGGGAGCAAA